CAGUAGCCGCGGAAUACGAAGGGUGCAAGCGUUAAUCGGAAUUACUGGGCGUAAAGCGUGCGUAGGCGGUGAGUUAAGUCUGCUGUGAAAUCCCCGGGCUCAACCUGGGAAUGGCAGUGGAUACUGGCUCGCUAGAGUGUGUCAGAGGAUGGUGGAAUUCCCGGUGUAGCGGUGAAAUGCGUAGAGAUCGGGAGGAACGCCGAUGGCGAAGGCAGCCACCUGGUCCACUUCUGACGCUGAGGCGCGAAAGCGUGGGGAGCAAACCGGAUUAGAUACCCCAGUAGUCCCUGUCUCUUAUACA
rnacentral:rRNA from 1 species